UAGGUUAGGUCCUGAUCGGAAGACCUGCUC
rnacentral:piRNA from 1 species